rnacentral:rRNA from 1 species
AAAAUUUAUUAUUAAUUUGAUUUAUAUGUAAAUUUUUGUGUGAAAUUAUAUUUAUUUUAAAAAUAUUUAUAAUAUAUUUAUUAGCAGUAAUUAAUAUUAUAAAUUAAAGAAAUUUAGAAAUAGCAAUAUUAAAGAGUAUUGACCAAAUUGGUGCCAGCAGUCGCGGUUACACUAAUAAUACAAAUAAAUUUUUUUAGUAGUAGUUAAAUUUAUUUAUUAAAAUAAAAUUAAUUUAUUAAGUGAAAUUUUAAAUUUAAAAUAUUUUUAUUUAAGAUUGAUUGAAGCUAAAAAAUUUUUGAAAA